ACCGCUGGUCAGAAAAAAAAAAAACUCAGCCCACAUGCUCGGUAUCUCCGCCGCCUUCUUCCCAGCCGGCGGCCCCGCAUGGCCGCAUAACGUCCGGCGAGGGUGCUUCCCCAGAUCUUCCGGUCGUCCUCAUCUUCCCACGCCCCCUCACCUUCCGGCCAACCCCGUGGUCGCGUACGUCUUUGCCGCCCCCACCACGCCGGCACAGGCCACCAGUCCACCACACGGCAGAUCCAGAUGGGAUCCGCAAUCUGACUCGCAGUACCGUCGCAGCAGCAUGCAACGGAGACCAUUGCCGUUGCUGCAGACCAUCCGGAAGCAGUGUGCCGGAUCCCGACGCCACGGCCUCUGCGAGUGCCUCGCCGGCAAGUCGAGCGCCGCCUCCUCCGACGAGCAGGCCGUCCACUGGCGCCAAAGGGAAGCCCCCACCACCUUCAGAGCGUUGCCCUCUACCAACACCGCAACGGGAUUUUGACUACUAUUUCAGGUGUAUUUUAGAGCGAAUUCGGGUUGAUGAAUGUUCCAUUAGGCAAUAUCAUAUUUGAGUGGUAUUACAGGAAGUAAUCAGGAUCUGAUUAUGCAGCUAUGGAAAUAGCCGUUUCCAGUAUGCAGCUAUGGAAAUUCUCGAGCUAAAGAUGUGAGGUCAGUAAGUGGUCGUGUAGAGAAAACGAGUUUGUGAUGCGUUGUUAUCUGUGCCUCAUAUUAGUCAGACUGUUCCUUCUCCAAAGUAAUUACAUCAAAAACUAUAAAUUGUAACGUAGAGCUCUUACACCAAAUGGUAAAGAUAAUGUUGAGUUUUGGAGGUGUCAUGAAUCUGUAGAGAUGCCUUUCCUUAAAACAAAAAAAGCCAAGAUAUUUUAGAACAAAGGAUGUAACGUGUCUUAAAUGCUAGGACUAAAAUUGUGUCUUUUUAUAUGGAUGAGGUUAAGUACUUUUUACUCUGCAGUGGCCCAAAUAGGACAGUACAUUCUGCAGAAAGACCUCAUAGAUGCGGCUGAAAGCACCCUGGAUGGAAGGAAAAUAGUCUGUUGCAUGGCCAUCUAGCAAGGUAUUAUCUCCACUUAGCUCGUAUUGUUUGAUGUGUGAUGCUGCUAUCUUAGAUUCUUAGUCAUGCGAAGAAGGCCAUAGUUCAUGUAUUUACUUGUACAAAAUGAAAUAUCUUAGUCAUGCGAAGAAGGCCAUAGUUCAUGUAUUCUUAGUCAUGUGAAGAAGGCCCAUAGUUCUGUAUUGACAUGCUCAAUUGACUGCAUGAUGAAGUUGGCCACUGGGGCUUGAACAAACACUCUUAUGUCGCAAAGUAAGACUUUCCUCCUAAUAAUUCUGGUCAUUGUCAUCCCAAACAGGUCCAACUGUAGCAAAAUCACAACUUGUUGGAAAGGGAUGUGUACUUAUGUACAUGAUAUCAAUAUUUAGUCAUUAGAGGAGUUAUGAUGCACCACUAUGUAGGCAUAAAAAACAUUCUAAUUUUGUAAAGCUGAGACUUUUAAUAUCCUAGAUUUUGCAAAAGAAACCACCUAUUAAUGUUCAGUUGCUGCUGGCGCGUGCUUGCUGUUGUUCAGUUUGUGCUGGCGCUGCCUAUUAAUGUUCGGCUUUGUUAGAUUUAAUUUGAUCAUAAGCUGCAAAAAUAUAUUUAAUUUGAUCAUCUAAUGUUGAGAAUAUAUGAUACUAAUGACAUGUGACUGAACUGCAUAAAUUUUAUUAUAGAAUAUAAGCUUGACGGAACUGCAUGCCCCUAGAGUUCUAUAAUAUAUCGCUCUAAUCCUGUAGUGUCCCACAGGCUUCAGCGCAAGUACGCCCAGUAAUUUCUUUCUUCUUAUUCCUUAGUUUAUUAAAGUGUUUGCCUUCAGCUUUUCUAACACGCCUUAUGUAGUUUUACCAGAUUGCUCACAAAAUAAACAAACUGUUUGCAUUCGUUUUUAUUUCAGUUCUAUCACUUCAUUCUCCCCUUGGUUUAUCUAUCUAGCAACCAUAUGAUUGUAUAAUAAAUCAUCCGCAGAUCCCAGUCUGAAGUACUUUUUUUAUCUAUGAUUUCUUGCCUAUGAAGGUAAUAACAAAGAUGUGGAACACGCACAUACAUAUUACACUAAUUUUGGUUAAUGUCUUCAAUUUCGCUGGAAACUAAAAUUGUGACUAGAUAGAUCAUCUUGAUGCUACUCUGAAUGUACUAUUUGAGCUAGCACGGGCAAUGGCUAAAGUGUCUUUAAUUUACUGGAAACUAAGGCUGUGAUGCCAAAUGAAGCUUGUGCUAAAGCUGUACUACUGUAGGAUAUUUUGUGGAAACAAAGGCACGUCAAGCUAGUGAACAAAGCCAGCCAUGCCAGAUAUCAAUGAAUAAAGUGCCACGAACAAAUGAGAGCUAGCUACUGAUCUUAAGUACUCCCUCUGAUCCUAAAAAAAUGUCUGAUGGUACAUUUAGCAUAAACAACCUCGAAAAUUAUUUGGUCUCAACCCGCACUCCACCAAAUGCACUGAUCAGGAAAGGGAUAGGGACACUGUAGCUGGCUGGCGCGCGUGGAGAAUGGGGCCAUGGGCACACUUUGAAGUCUGACCUGGGCAGACUCACGCGGGGGCAUCGCGCGGCAAGGGGCGCAGGCAUGCGCGCGGCGUAGACUCCGGCAGGAACGACGGCAAUAUGCAUUGUUUUAGAAGGAUUUAAUUAUAAAAAGUAAUUGUACUAACUGUUGGACACUUUUUUAGGAUCGGAGGGAGUAGAAGAUACCUUAGAUGAAAUUGCAUUUCUAGCGGCUAUCACUUUCAUUUCUAUUAGUUUUUAAAUCUGAGCAUGGACAAUACGCUAGCUAACAGUAGCUAUAAAUCAGGGCCGAUUACUAUGAUGUGGUAUGUCACAAACAUGAGUGGUGUACUAGUAGUUCUGGCAUUUUCCUAAAAAAAAGUUCGGCUCAAUGUAGUCUAUUUAUGUGUGUACUGUUGCACGAAUUUGAUGUACUAGUAGGUUUUGAUUACUAUGAUGUGAGUUAUCUUGUGAAUGAAUAUUAAUACUGUCAUGCUUGUAUAGGUGAAGUGUGCCAAUACAAAUGAUGUUAAUUGAUGUGCACAUCUAUGCUUUAUACAAUUUACUGCAAUAACAUUGUCUUUACAUAGAUCGGGAUUGUUUUUCCUUUUGUAGGAAAUACAUGCAACAUGUGGUGAAACCGGUGGUUCACGUCAAUGAUAUUUCUGUAAUGGGAGUCGUUGGAUACAUCCUUUACCCAUUGUUUUGUAAACCUAUACCGAGUAUUGGCACUGAACAAUACCUUUUUCCUAUAUGCCUUUGGUUUAUGAGAAAAUGGAUGGUAAUUAUGUUGAUAAGAGAUGAACUAUUUGUAUGUGAGAAUUAAUUGUUUUGUUUUGGCAUUGGGUUUAAUAUUUUUGGAGGGCAUGCACGUUACUCUUA